UACGUAGGGUGCGAGCGUUAAUCGGAAUUACUGGGCGUAAAGCGUGCGCAGGCGGCGCGUUAAGACAGGUGUGAAAGCCCCGAGCUUAACUUGGGAAUUGCGCUUGUGACUGGCGUGCUGGAGUGUGGCAGAGGGAGGUGGAAUUCCACGUGUAGCAGUGAAAUGCGUAGAGAUGUGGAGGAACACCGAUGGCGAAGGCAGCCUCCUGGGCCAGCACUGACGCUCAUGCACGAAAGCUAGGGGAGCGAACGGG
rnacentral:rRNA from 1 species